CGAACGGGUGAGUAAUGCGUGACCAACCUGCCCCAUGCUCCAGAAUAGCUCUUGGAAACGGGUGGUAAUGCUGGAUGCUCCAACUUGACGCAUGUCUUGUUGGGAAAGUGUUUAGUGGCAUGGGAUGGGGUCGCGUCCUAUCAGCUUGUAGGCGGGGUAAUGGCCCGCCUAGGCUUCGACGGGUAGCCGGCCUGAGAGGGCGGACGGCCACAUUGGGACUGAGAUACGGCCCAGACUCCUACGGGAGGCAGCAGAA
rnacentral:rRNA from 1 species